CAGGGUGGAACCAUUCAUUUCUGGAGUAUUCCGGCACGUUAUAGACUUUAAUAUAUCUAUACAUAUAUAGAACGAAAUGGCAAGCACUGGUGAAACUUUCAUUGUUAGCAGGGUUUGCUUGGUUCCACCUUCAACAAACGAGCAAGAAAUAUGGAAAACUGAGAGCUUGCUCUCAUUCAGCAUUGCGGUUGGAAGCAGAUUUUAUAAUAAUGAUAAGUAUUAAGUGAAUAUAAUUGGG